UACGUAGGGAGCAAGCGUUGUCCGGAAUCAUUGGGCGUAAAGCGCGCGUAGGUGGCCUCAUAAGUCCGCUGUGAAAGUCAAAGGCUCAACCUUUGAAAGCCGGUGGAUACUGUGAGGCUAGAGUACGGAAGAGGCGAGUGGAAUUCCUGGUGUAGCGGUGAAAUGCGUAGAUAUCGGGAGGAACACCUGUGGCGAAGGCGGCCCCCUGGUCGGAUACUGACGCUGAGACGCGAAAGCGUGGGGAGCAAACAGG
rnacentral:rRNA from 1 species